GGUUUCGGAUGAUCCCCUCUUUUGGGAAUUUUUUAUUUGGUUGUAUUAGCGUCCCGGUAAUUAGCGUAUUGUAAUUUCUUUCCUUCGGGGUCCCCCCCUUUGCAGACGACUUAUCUGUGCGAAACGGUCCUGUAAGCAGUAGAGUAGCCUUGUUGUUACGAUCUGCUGAGGGUAAGCCGUCCUUCGCCUCGAUUUCCCCAACGACAGACUCUCGCAGUGCGAGGGCGUGGUAGGGGUUCUCACCUUUGGAAAGACGGGUCGAGCAGGCUGCGGCCUGCCGAUGCGUCUAAGUCGAGGGUGUUCAGGGUAGGCAGGUCAGACUUGGUGGAAUCGGGAAUCGGUUCGAGACGGGUUGCGGUCGUGGGAUGAGGUUGAUUUAAAGUUGCGGAGGUGCGGGUCUGCAGGGUAGGCAGGAGUGCCAGAGUCGAGUUGAGAGCCUCUCUGGGACGAAUGGGUGAUGGUAUGGGUUGGCUGCAGGGUAGGCAGGAUUGUCUUGGUCGAGCUGGUUGUCGUCCGGGUGGUGAAAGGCGAUCGGGGUCAGCUGCAGGGUAGGCAGAAAUGGCUUGGUGGGAUGCUGGACGGAGAGGCGCCGGUCUCCUGCCCAGGUCGUGUCGUGGGAACCGGUGCGGAAUGGUCUGGCGGUCCGGUGGUCGUGAGCACAUUUUUAAAAUCCGCCAUACAAAUGAAUUUUGCGGAAAAUCAAAGUUGGCCCGCGAGACGGCUCGGGCGAGCGGCCGGCUGGGAGAGCCCCGGAGGACCUAUAAGAGAAACGGCGCCGGGAGGGGCCCAGGGGAAGCUGUAGGGUAGGCAGUCCCAGGUUGGGCGUGGAGGCUCGGUGCUUGUCCUUUUGUUGCUGGCUUUCGACGUUUGCAUUCACUCGGUCGUCUGGUCGGUCGUCCGGCCGGUCAGGCAGAAAGUCACCCUGACACUCGUCAGUCAUAAGCUCAUGCGUUUCCGUGGGAGGUCACGUGAU
rnacentral:misc_RNA from 1 species